CCUACGGGUGGCAGCAGUGGGGGAUAUUGCACAAUGGGGGGAACCCUGAUGCAGCGACGCCGCGUGAGCGAAGGAGUGCUUCGGCAUGUAAAGCCCUAUCUACAGGGAAGAAGCAAGACGGUACCUUACUAAUAAGCCCCGGCGAACUACGUGCGAGUAGCCGCGGUAAUACGUAGGGGGCGAGCGUUAUCCGGAUUCACGGGGGGUAAAGGGAGCGGAGACGGCCAUGUAAGUCAGGGGGGAAAGCCCGGGGCCCAACCCCGGGACUGCCGUUGGCACUGCAAGGCUGGAGUGCGGGAGGGGCAGGCGGAAUGCGUGGUGUAGCGGUGAAAUGCGUAGAUAGCAGGAGGAACGCCGGGGGCGAAGGCGGCCUGCUGGACUGCGACUGACGUUGAGGCUCGAAAGCGUGGGGAGCGAACAGGAUUAGAUACCCUGGUAGUC
rnacentral:rRNA from 1 species